rnacentral:lncRNA from 1 species
GAGCAUCAGCUGCCCAGCCUUAGCACUUUGAGAAACUGGGAAGUGCAGACAGCUUAAACUGGCGGAGUCCGAUCAGAUGAGGCAAGAGAGGGUGCAGCCUCAGGGACGGUGGGCAUUGAACUUCCAGUGGUUGGAAUACCUCCACUCCCAGUCUUGAUGGCUCCCUAGCAUUCCCAACCCUGGGGCUUACCGUGGCUAUAGAGGAAGAUUGCAAGCUAGCAUUUUCCAAGCGUUUUCUGCACACUGCCCCUGUGAGGACAUACUCCUCAGACUGAAUUCUGCAGAUUCACAAUGUGCGAGUUAGUUCAUCUAAGAUAACACCAAUAAAAGAAGAUACUGCUUAUAAGGACCCCAAAUGACACCCCAAGGAGGGAAUCUUGAACUGAAUAGGAGCCUGGCAGUUCAUCGAGAGCUGCUCAGCACAACGCUAAGCCCCUAAAAGGGGAGUAAAUUAUCUACUUGGAAAUCA